GCGAACAGACCCCAGCUGCCAUCUUACCUCUCCGCAAGGUGGCAGGGCCUGAAGGCCUGGUUUGCGUUCACGUCCCCUUCUCCCUCCAAGACUUAUCCGCCAUCAAAAAGCGGCUAGGGUCAUUCUCGGCUGACCCCACCCAAUACAUUAAGGAAUUCCAAUACCUUGCCCAAGCCUACAGUCUCACGUGGCAUGACAUCCAGAGGAAUCAUGUCCAAUUGAAGGUUCUAUAGAAGCUCCUCAUUUGCACCAUUCAAUGGAUUAUAAAAUGUGCAUUUCCUUUGCACAUUCAUGAAGUCAAAAAAGGAAAAACUCAUUCUUAGCUCAUAAUCUGUAUAACAACAGAUAGAAGUCUGGAUUGGACCUUUGGGCUAGAGUUUGCAGACUCCUGUACUAGAAGAAUAUCUUUUAAUAAAAAGAUCAAAAUUUUCA